GACGAACGCUGGCGGCGUGCUUAACACAUGCAAGUCGAACGGCAAGGUCCUGCUUUUGUGGCGUGCUCGAGUGGCGCACGGGUGCGUCACACGUUAGUAACCUGCCCUUGCCUUUCGGCUACCUUCUAGUAACUGGUGCUACUACCGCAUAGGAGCUCCUGCUGCAUGUUGGGGGUUGGACAGUUUCGGCGGUUGGGGAUGGACUCGCGUCUUUUCAGCUUCGUGGUGGGGUAGUGGCUUACCAUGGCUUUGACGGGUAGCCGGCCUGAGAGGGUGACCGGGAAAAUUGGGACAGAGAUACGGCGGAGGCACCUACGGGAGGUAGCAGGGGGGGAGAGUGAACAAUGGGCGGAAGCGUGAUGCAGCAACGCCGCGUGCGGGAUGACGACCUUCGGGUUGUAAGCGGCGAACGCCUGUGACGAAGCGUGAGUGACGGAAAUGGGUAAAGAAGCACGGGCAAACUACGU
rnacentral:rRNA from 1 species